rnacentral:misc_RNA from 1 species
UCUCCGUAGGUGAACCUGCGGAGGGAUCAUUACAGAGUUUUUGCCCGCAAGGGUAGAUCUCCCACCCUAUGUUAUUCCUUCUCUGUUGCUUUGGCGGGCCGUCCGGCCUCGGUCAGGCCACCGGCUCCGGCUGGGGAGCGCCCGCCAGAGGACCCCAAACCCUAAAUGUCAGUGUCGUCUGAGUACUAUAUAAUAGUUAAAACUUUCAACAACGGAUCUCUUGGUUCUG